rnacentral:tRNA from 1 species
UCCCUUGUGGCUCAGCAGGUAAAGAAUCCGCCUGCAAUGCGGGAGACCUGGGUUCGAUUCCUGGGUUGGGAA